rnacentral:rRNA from 1 species
UGACUCUGGGAUAAGCGCUGGAAACGGCGUCUAAUACUGGAUACGAGUAGCGACCGCAUGGUCAGUUACUGGAAAGAUUUAUUGGUUGGGGAUGGGCUCGCGGCCUAUCAGCUUGUUGGUGAGGUAAUGGCUCACCAAGGCGUCGACGGGUAGCCGGCCUGAGAGGGUGACCGGCCACACUGGGACUGAGACACGGCCCAGACUCCUACGGGAGGCAGCAGUGGGGAAUAUUGCACAAUGGGCGCAAGCCUGAUGCAGCAACGCCGCGUGAGGGAUGACGGCCUUCGGGUUGUAAACCUCUUUUAGCAGGGAAGAAGCGAAAGUGACGGUACCUGCAGAAAAAGCGCCGGCUAACUACGUGCCAGCAGCCGCGGUAAUACGUAGGGCGCAAGCGUUAUCCGGAAUUAUUGGGCGUAAAGAGCUCGUAGGCGGUUUGUCGCGUCUGCUGUGAAAUCCGGAGGCUCAACCUCCGGCCUGCAGUGGGUACGGGCAGACUAGAGUGCGGUAGGGGAGAUUGGAAUUCCUGGUGUAGCGGUGGAAUGCGCAGAUAUCAGGAGGAACACCGAUGGCGAAGGCAGAUCUCUGGGCCGUAACUGACGCUGAGGAGCGAAAGGGUGGGGAGCAAACAGGCUUAGAUACCCUGGUAGUCCACCCCGUAAACGUUGGGAACUAGUUGUGGGGUCCAUUCCACGGAUUCCGUGACGCAGCUAACGCAUUAAGUUCCCCGCCUGGGGAGUACGGCCGCAAGGCUAAAACUCAAAGGAAUUGACGGGGACCCGCACAAGCGGCGGAGCAUGCGGAUUAAUUCGAUGCAACGCGAAGAACCUUACCAAGGCUUGACAUAUACGAGAACGGGCCAGAAAUGGUCAACUCUUUGGACACUCGUAAACAGGUGGUGCAUGGUUGUCGUCAGCUCGUGUCGUGAGAUGUUGGGUUAAGUCCCGCAACGAGCGCAACCCUCGUUCUAUGUUGCCAGCACGUAAUGGUGGGAACUCAUGGGAUACUGCCGGGGUCAACUCGGAGGAAGGUGGGGAUGACGUCAAAUCAUCAUGCCCCUUAUGUCUUGGGCUUCACGCAUGCUACAAUGGCCGGUACAAAGGGCUGCAAUACCGCGAGGUGGAGCGAAUCCCAAAAAGCCGGUCCCAGUUCGGAUUGAGGUCUGCAACUCGACCUCAUGAAGUCGGAGUCGCUAGUAAUCGCAGAUCAGCAACGCUGCGGUGAAUACGUUCCCG